UGUUGAGUUGUAUAUGCUCUUUAUAUAUGUUGACUAUUAAUCCAUUAUCAGAUAUGCAAUUUGCAAAUUAUAACUGUAAAUAAAUCACAUACAAAUAAAUUCUGCCAUUCAGUAGACUGUCUUUUUGUUUUGUUGAAGGUUUCCUUUUCUGUUUAAAAUAUUUUCUAUUUUGGAUCUUGGGAGCGGGCGGGUGGUCCACUGCGAGGUGAGCCACUGCCCGCCCCACCCCUUGCUUCUCGGCGCCCCCUCGAUGCUCUUAGCUGAGUGUCCCGUGGGGCCCAAAGCGUUUACUUUGAAAAAAUUACAGUGUUCAAAGCAGGCCCAAGCUGCCUGAAUACCGCAGCUAGGAAUAAUGGAAUAGGACCGUGGUUCUAUUUUGUUGGUUUUCAGAACUGAGGGAUGAUUAAGAGGGACGUCCUUAAGAAGGACGGCCGCCGCUAGAGGUGAAAUUCUUGGACCCGUGCAAGACGAACCAGAGCGAAAGCAUUUGCCAAGAAUAUUUUCAUUAAUCAAGAACGAAAGUCGAAGUCAACCAGAUACUGUCGUAGUUCUGACCAUAAAUGAUGCCGACUGGCGCCAUGCCAGUGUUAUUCCCAUACAAGCUCUGCAAGAAAUUUUAAGGGGGACUCUU
rnacentral:ncRNA from 1 species